GACGAACGCUGGCGGCGUGCCUAAUACAUGCAAGUCGAACGCUUUUUCUUUCACCGGAGCUUGCUCCACCGAAAGAAAAAGAGUGGCGAACGGGUGAGUAACACGUGGGUAACCUGCCCAUCAGAAGGGGAUAACACUUGGAAACAGGUGCUAAUACCGUAUAACAAGUAAAACCGCAUGGUUUUACUUUGAAAGGCGCUUUUGCGUCACUGAUGGAUGGACCCGCGGUGCAUUAGCUAGUUGGUGAGGUAACGGCUCACCAAGGCAACGAUGCAUAGCCGACCUGAGAGGGUGAUCGGCCACAUUGGGACUGAGACACGGCCCAAACUCCUACGGGAGGCAGCAGUAGGGAAUCUUCGGCAAUGGACGAAAGUCUGACCGAGCAACGCCGCGUGAGUGAAGAAGGUUUUAGGAUCGUAAAACUCUGUUGUUAGAGAAGAACAAGGAUGAGAGUAAAGUGUUCAUCCCUUGACGGUAUCUAACCAGAAAGCCACGGCUAACUACGUGCCAGCAGCCGCGGUAAUACGUAGGUGGCAAGCGUUGUCCGGAUUUAUUGGGCGUAAAGCGAGCGCAGGCGGUUUCUUAAGUCUGAUGUGAAAGCCCCCGGCUCAACCGGGGAGGGUCAUUGGAAACUGGGAAACUUGAGUGCAGAAGAGGAGAGUGGAAUUCCAUGUGUAGCGGUGAAAUGCGUAGAUAUAUGGAGGAACACCAGUGGCGAAGGCGGCUCUCUGGUCUGUAACUGACGCUGAGGCUCGAAAGCGUGGGGAGCAAACAGG
rnacentral:rRNA from 1 species